rnacentral:rRNA from 1 species
GGGGGGGUGCAAGCGUUAUUCGGAAUUAUUGGGCGUAAAGGGCGCGUAGGCGGUCUCUAAAGUCAGAUGUGAAAGCCCGGGGGGCUUAACCCCGGGAAGUGCAUUUGAAGCUCAGGGACUUGAGUAUGGGAGAGGGGAGUGGAAUUCCUGGUGUAGCGGUGAAAUGCGUAGAUAUCAGGAGGAACACCAGUGGCGAAGGCGACUUCCUGGACCAAUACUGACGCUAAGGCGCGAAGGCGUGGGGAGCAAACAGGAUUAGAUACCCUGGUAGUCCACGCAGUAAACGGUGAGCACUAGGUGUAGCGGGUAUUGACCCCUGCUGUGCCGCAGCUAACGCAUUAAGUGUUCCGCCUGGGGAGUACGAUCGCAAGAUUA